AGCCGAGUGACGUCACUCACACCUGUUCUCUCGGAAACGGAAGUGUGUCGUUGACCCUGUUCACUCCAAAACUGGAGCAAAAGGAUGCAGAAGAGAUAAUUGACAUGAAUUUUAUUGAAAACAUGUAACCCGAUAGCUUAAUGGAUUAUUAGAAAUUCUGUUUGCUCUGUGAUUGCCUUCUGUUGAAGCCAUAAACCACAAACUAUCCGAUAAAUGUGCGGAAUGCUUUUAACGGGAAGUCAGUGAAUAUUCAAAGUGCCCACCUGCGAAUCGCUGCUCACAGGCAGGACCCACAGAAAAGCCUGACAAUCCAACUCUUGUCUGUCCUGGCUGGUGAAAUGAUAGCAGCCGUACAGGGAACUGGCUGACUGUUUUUGGGUAAACAUUGUCUCGUGGCGCCGGUUGAUGCAUGAGGGCGCGCACAAAGCGCAAGGAUACAGUGACACCUGUCGUCUCCAGCAAGAGCCUCCCAGCUCCGGAAGGACAGCUCCGUGGGAAAAAAGAUAUUUAUGGGCAACACAGAGGAUGAGGAAGUGGAGGAGGUCAAUGAGCUCAGUGUUUUUUUCCCCCCAAGUUUAUGAUUUCCUUUGCUGAAGACACACAUGUGGGAGAAAGCACUCUCCCACAGUACAUACUUGAGCGUAACUAGACGAGAUGAUGAACUCGGUUGAUCGGGCUGAUUUUCAGAUGGUGGUGGUAGCUCCAUGGUGACAUCAUCAGGGGGCGGUGUUGCACUGGACUGACCGAUACAGCUUCAGGCCAUUAGAGAGACUGUGAUUACUUAAAAGAAAAAAACAAACAAACAUUGUUUAAAAUGCACCUGCUACUCUUUUACCAUCUUUCGUUACACAUUAUGUAGCAUAAAUGAAACUGUAUUAACCCCAAAGGCAAGGUGAAAAUAGCCAAUCUGAAAGUGAAUUACAGAUAGAUGGUGAGAACAUCUGUGGCAAUGCUGCAUGUCAUCAACCUGACAAGUGAGAAAUGCUGGAUGCAGACAUAUAAACCGCGGGCAAUACUUAAGAUUAGAGCAACCUAUUUCUUUCCGUCAUCAUCAGUGGCGUUUGCAGCUGUAUUCUCUGCACAGGUGAAUAAUGAAUCACAUCAGCACUUCCAAGAUGAGCUGUGAACGAGAAUAGGCUCAGCUCUGGCACAGGUCAGCAGCGAUGCAAAACAAACAGGAAAUGUGUUGUGUAGUGAGUGCUGAACUUGUCCCCGGGGGUGACAAACAAAGACUGCUUCCACUGCUUAAGUGGAACCAGUGGAAAAACAUUUGUUUGUUUAUUUAUUUCCAUUUAGGACAUUAGAAGAGUGUACUUUUAUUACAAAUAGAUAAAUAGAUUUUUCUUUCUUUGUAUUUUUAGACUGAUUGCAUUUUGGUCUACAAUAAAUCUUAAUGAUUUGUUAUUGAAGAAACUACUAGCUCUUACAAAAGUUUCUUAUCAAGGCAAAGUCCCACACCACCAGUGAUGAAGCCCCAGUGCAUGUCCCACUAACUGGAACAGUUUCUCUGUACAGCUGCUUGCUGUUGCCACAUCUUAACAGCACAACCACCACUUAAAAUUGCCACUGUGGUUACAUUAAAAAAAAGAUUAUUAUUUAUAUUAGUCUUCAUGGUGUCUUUCCACCUGGCGCUUAUGUGUGCAUAGCAAAUGAGGCUGAAUGUGACCAAAAACUUUCACAUAAGUAAACUUCAGUAGUUUAAGUUUUGUGUGUUUAUUUGGUUGGUUGGUUUCUGCUAUUUUAGAAAUUAUUGAUGUUGUGUUUUAAAGGUGAAUAUAGUUGUGGCUGUUUUGUAAGUUUUGAUUUUCAGAGCAUGAUGAUUGAUGAUGAUUGAUGAUUGAGCAUGAUGAGCAAUGAUGUUUUUGGCAGUUUUUACUAGCACUUUCUUUUAAUAAAUCAUUCGGGUGUU